GAUGAACGCUGGCGGCGUGCUUAACACAUGCAAGUCGAACGUGAGGGUGUAGCAAUAUGCCUGAAAGUGGCGAACGGGUGAGUAACACGUAGAUGACCUGCCCUGGAGCGGGGGAUAACCAUUGGAAACGGUGGCAAAUACCGCAUACAUCCAGAAGAUAGGGAAAUUAUCUGGGUAAAGCUCUGGUGCUCUGGGAGGGGUCUGCGUCCGAUUAGCUAGUUGGUGAGGUAAAGGAUCACCAAGGCGACGAUCGGUAGCUGGUCUGAGAGGACGAUCAGCCACACGGGAACUGAGACACGGUCCCGACUCCUACGGGGGGCAGCAGUGAGGAAUAUUGGGCAAUGGGCGAGAGCCUGACCCAGCAACGCCGCGUGGAGGAAGACGGCCUUCGGGUUGUAAACUCCUUUUGACAGGGAAGAGAGAGGACGGUACCUGUCGAAUAAGUCACGGCUAACUACGUGCCAGCCGCCGCGGUAAAAC
rnacentral:rRNA from 1 species